rnacentral:rRNA from 1 species
CUCGAGCGGCGAACGGGUGAGUAACACGUGAGCAACCUGCCCCCGACUCUGGGAUAAGCCUGGGAAACCGGGUCUAAUACCGGAUAUGACCAUUGCUCGCAUGGGUGGUGGUGGAAAGUUGUUUCGGUCGGGGAUGGGCUCGCGGCCUAUCAGCUUGUUGGUGGGGUGAUGGCCUACCAAGGCGACGACGGGUAGCCGGCCUGAGAGGGCGACCGGCCACACUGGGACUGAGACACGGCCCAGACUCCUACGGGAGGCAGCAGUGGGGAAUAUUGCGCAAUGGGCGGAAGCCUGACGCAGCGACGCCGCGUGGGGGAUGAAGGCCUUCGGGUUGUAAACCUCUUUCAGCACCGACGAAGUCUGACGGUAGGUGCAGAAGAAGCGCCGGCUAACUACGUGCCAGCAGCCGCGGUAAUACGUAGGGCGCGAGCGUUGUCCGGAAUUAUUGGGCGUAAAGAGCUCGUAGGCGGCCUGUCGCGUCCGUCGUGAAAGCCCACGGCUCAACCGUGGGUCUGCGGUGGAUACGGGCAGGCUAGAGGCAGGUAGGGGAGAACGGAAUUCCCGGUGUAGCGGUGAAAUGCGCAGAUAUCGGGAGGAACACCGGUGGCGAAGGCGGUUCUCUGGGCCUGUUCUGACGCUGAGGAGCGAAAGCGUGGGGAGCGAACAGGAUUA